rnacentral:rRNA from 1 species
AUGCUAUGUCGGUAUGUCCAGCAGCGGCGCAGCGCCUCCGUCCAGUACACGCAGGUUAAAUUGUUUACUAUUUUUUGCAACAACAAGAUGAGCGAUGGUGGUGGCCGAGUGAUGGUGACGGCAUGGAGGUUUCUGCUGUGUUGUAUGGUGAAAGACGAACAUCAAAGUACAGAAAAACGUGCACUGCAGUCUCUUGUGGCUUUAGUUUACCUUUCUUCAAGUGAAAAAUGCGCAACAUCGGCUGGCCCACAAAUGGAGUUCUGCUGGCUGGUAGUGCAGAUUUUGUGUGUAUGUAUGUGGGUGGCUGUAAAACAAUGA